rnacentral:lncRNA from 1 species
AUUAAGAGAGUACAUGAAUCCAAACAUACAGCAAAUACAUUUUUAAGUAAAACAUGAUAAUAGAAAAGUAAUAACACGAUGCUUCCUAACUCUUUUGCAGGAUAGACUGAUUCGCUAACUUUAUCUAUUUUUGUUCUCGGUCUUAUAUGAUCUUGUGUACGGCUGUCGUUUAUUGUGAUCCAAACGCCUUUUAUCACUUAACAGAUCAGUGGGUGCGAUCCAUCUGUUACAUCGCUGUCCAUUCCAUACACUCCCGCUCCAGGAGAUAACAAGAUUUGUGUCGUCUCUAUCCAUAUCAUAA